UACGUAGGGUGCGAGCGUUAAUCGGAAUUACUGGGCGUAAAGCGUGCGCAGGCGGUUCGCCAAGUCAGGUGUGAAAUCCCCGGGCUUAACUUGGGAAUUGCGCUUGUGACUGGCGUGCUGGAGUGUGGCAGAGGGAGGUGGAAUUCCACGUGUAGCAGUGAAAUGCGUAGAGAUGUGGAGGAACACCGAUGGCGAAGGCAGCCUCCUGGGCCAGCACUGACGCUCAUGCACGAAAGCGUGGGGAGCAAACAGG
rnacentral:rRNA from 1 species